rnacentral:pre_miRNA from 1 species
CGCUGGCAGUGUUGGUGACACUCACGUGGUGGUGGUGGCACCAGCACUGGCGGUGUC